AUUGAACGCUGGCGGCAUGCCUUACACAUGCAAGUCGAACGGUAACAGGUCUUCGGAUGCUGACGAGUGGCGAACGGGUGAGUAAUACAUCGGAACGUGCCUAGUAGUGGGGGAUAACUACUCGAAAGAGUGGCUAAUACCGCAUGAGAUCUACGGAUGAAAGCAGGGGAUCGCAAGACCUUGUGCUACUAGAGCGGCCGAUGGCAGAUUAGGUAGUUGGUGGGAUAAAAGCUUACCAAGCCGACGAUCUGUAGCUGGUCUGAGAGGACGAUCAGCCACACGGGGACGGAGACACGGCCCAGACUACCACGGGAGGCAGUAGUGGGGAAUUUUGGACAAUGGGCGCAAGCCUGAUCCAGCAAUGCCGCGUGCAGGAUGAAGGCCUUCGGGUUGUAAACUGCUUUUGUACGGAACGAAAAGCCCUGGGUUAAUACCCUGGGGUCAUGACGGUACCGUAAGAAUAAGCACCGGCUAACUACGUGCCAGCCGCCGCCGUAAUAC
rnacentral:rRNA from 1 species